CCUGAGUAAACCUCAAAGCCCUUGUGAUAACAGAAUCGUUCAUCAUCCAACAUGAGAGCUGAGGAUCACGACAAUUAGGCAAUUAUGGUCUUAUUAUUCGAGUUCCGGUGUUGAGGGUAGGCUUUUCUAGUUAAGGUGUAUGAAUAUUGAACUAAGACUAUUGGAUAUGUAUUAAGUUUACUUUUGAAAUAUGGGUCUGGAUCCUCUCCAGUACUUUACUGUUGAUCAUGAGGUCCAUAAAAUUCUAAAUAUUACAAAAUAAACUUUAAUUAAAAAUGAAUGA